rnacentral:rRNA from 1 species
AGGAUUCCCCUAGUAACUGCGAGUGAAGCGGGAAAAGCUCAAAUUUAAAAUCUGGCAGUCUCUGGCUGUCCGAGUUGUAAUCUAGAGAAGUAAUGCCCGUGCUGGACCGUGUAUAAGUCUCCUGGGAUGGGGCGUCAUAGAGGGUGAGAAUCCCGUCUUUGACACGGACUACCAGUGCAUUGUGGUAUGCUCUCAAAGAGUCGAGUUGUUUGGGAAUGCAGCUCAAAAUGGGUGGUAAAUUCCAUCUAAAGCUAAAUAUUGGCGAGAGACCGAUAGCGAACAAGUACCGUGAGGGAAAGAUGAAAAGAACUUUGGAAAGAGAGUUAAACAGUACGUGAAAUUGCUGAAAGGGAAACGCUUGAAGUCAGUCGCGUUGGCCGGGAAUCAGCCUUGCUUUUGCAUGGUGUACUUUCUGGUUGACGGGUCAGCAUCAAUUUUGACCACUGGAAAAGGACCUGGGGAAUGUGGCAGCUUCGGCUGUGUUAUAGCCCCUAGUCGCAUACAGUGGUUGGGAUUGAGGAACUCAGCACGCCGCAAGGCCGGGUUUCGACCACGUCCGUGCUUAGGAUGCUGGCAUAAUGGCUUUAAGCGACCCGUCUUGAAACACGGACCAAGGAGUCUAACAUGCCUGCGAGUAUUUGGGUGGAAAACUCAAGUGCGUAAUGAAAGUGAAAGUUGAGAUCCCUGUCGUGGGGAGCAUCGACGCCCGGACCAGAACUUUUGGGACGGAUCCGCGGUGGAGCAUGUAUGUUGGGACCCGAAAGAUGGUGAACUAUGCCUGAAUAGGGUGAAGCCAGAGGAAACUCUGGUGGAGGCUCGUAGCGAUUCUGACGUGCAAAUCGAUCGUCAAAUUUGGGUAUAGGGGCGAAA